CACGGGGGGAGCAAGCGUUGUUCGGAAUCACUGGGCGUAAAGGGCGUGUAGGCGGUCAGGUAAGUGAGAUGUGAAAUGCCCCGGCUCACCCGGGGACCGGCAUCUCAUACUGCUUGGCUUGAGUACGGGAGAGGAUGUGGGAAUUCCUGGUGUAGCGGUGAAAUGCGUAGAGAUGCGGAGGAACACCGAUGGCGAAGGCAGCCCCCUGGGCUGACACUGACGCUCAGGCACGAAAGCGUGGGGAGCAAACAGG
rnacentral:rRNA from 1 species